CCUACGGGCGGCUGCAGUGGGGAAUAUUGGACAAUGGGGGGAACCCUGAUCCAGCCAUGCCGCGUGUGUGAAGAAGGUCCUCGGGUUGUAAAGCACUUUCAGUGAGGAAGAACGCCUGGUGGUUAAUACCCAUCAGGAAAGACAUCACUCACAGAAGAAGCACCGGCUAACUCCGUGCCAGCAGCCGCGGUAAUACGGAUGGUGCGAGCGUUAAUCGGAAUUACUGGGCGUAAAGCGCGCGUAGGUGGCUUGAUAAGCCGGUUGUGAAAGCCCCGGGCUCAACCUGGGAACGGCAUCCGGAACUGUCAAGCUAGAGUGCAGGAGAGGAAGGUAGAAUUCCCGGUGUAGCGGUGAAAUGCGUAGAGAUCGGGAGGAAUACCAGUGGCGAAGGCGGCCUUCUGGACUGACACUGACACUGAGGUGCGAAAGCGUGGGUAGCAAACAGGAUUAGAUACCCUAGUAGUC
rnacentral:rRNA from 1 species